rnacentral:rRNA from 1 species
GACGGAGGGGGCUAGCGUUGUUCGGAUUUACUGGGCGUAAAGAGUGCGUAGGCGGUUUAGUAAGUUGGAAGUGAAAGCCCGAGGCUUAACCUCGGAACUGCUUUCAAAACUACUAAUCUAGAGUGUAGUAGGGGAUGAUGGAAUUCCUAGUGUAGAGGUGAAAUUCUUAGAUAUUAGGAGGAACACCGGUGGCGAAGGCGGUCAUCUGGGCUACAACUGACGCUGAUGCACGAAAGCGUGGGGAGCAAACAGG